UACGUAGGGUGCGAACGUUAAUCGGAAUCACUGGGCGUAAAGCGCGCGUAGGCGGUUUGUUAAGUGGGAUGUGAAAUCCCCGGGCUUAACCUGGGAAUUGCAUUUCAAACUGGCCGACUAGAGUACGGUAGAGGGAGGUAGAAUUUCCUGUGUAGCGGUGAAAUGCGUAGAUAUAGGAAGGAAUACCAGUGGCGAAGGCGGCCUCCUGGAUCGAUACUGACGCUGAGGCGCGAAAGCGUGGGGAGCAAACAGG
rnacentral:rRNA from 1 species